rnacentral:rRNA from 1 species
GAUGAACGCUGGCGGCGUGCCUAAUACAUGCAAGUCGAGCGAACGGACGAGAAGCUUGCUUUUCUGAUGUUAGCGGCGGACGGGUGAGUAACACGUGGAUAACCUACCUAUAAGACUGGGAUAACUUCGGGAAACCGGCGCUAAUACCGGAUAAUAUUUUGAACCGCAUGGUUCAAAAGUGAAAGACGGUCUUGCUGCCACUUAUAGAUGGAUCCGCGCUGCAUUAGCUGGUUGGUAAGGUAACGGCUUACCAAGGCAACGAUGCAUAGCCGACCUGAGAGGGUGAUCGGCCACACGGGAACUGGGACCCGGUCCAGACUCCUACGGGAGGCAGCGGUAGGGAAUCUUCCGCAAAGGGCGAAAGCCUGACGGGGCAACGCCGCGUGAGUGAUGAAGGUCUUCGGAUCGUAAAACUCUGUUAUUAGGGAAGAACAUAUGUGUAAGUAACUGUGCACAUCUUGACGGUACCUAAUCAGAAAGCCACGGCUAACUACGUG